AUUGAACGCUGGCGGCAGGCCUAACACAUGCAAGUCGAGCGGAUGAAGGGAGCUUGCUCCUGGAUUCAGCGGCGGACGGGUGAGUAAUGCCUAGGAAUCUGCCUGGUAGUGGGGGAUAACGUCCGGAAACGGGCGCUAAUACCGCAUACGUCCUGAGGGAGAAAGUGGGGGAUCUUCGGACCUCACGCUAUCAGAUGAGCCUAGGUCGGAUUAGCUAGUUGGUGGGGUAAAGGCCUACCAAGGCGACGAUCCGUAACUGGUCUGAGAGGAUGAUCAGUCACACUGGAACUGAGACACGGUCCAGACUCCUACGGGAGGCAGCAGUGGGGAAUAUUGGACAAUGGGCGAAAGGCUGAUCCAGCCAUGCCGGGUGGGGGAAGAAGGUCUUCGGAUUGUAAAGCACUUUAAGUUGGGAGGAAGGGAAGUAAGUUAAUACCUUGCUGUUUUGACGUUACCAACAGAAUAAGCACCGGCUAACUUCGUG
rnacentral:rRNA from 1 species